UCUUUAACUCUUAUAUAAUUUUAGUAAUAUCAAAUAAAAUAUAAUUACAACAUUGCUUACUUGACAUAUUGUCCAGAGCUGUAAUACAGCUUAAGCUAUCAGAAACAAUUAAAAAGUUUCUACUAUUUACAUCCUUUAUGUACAAUAAAGCUUUAUAAAUUGCAUAGCACUCAGCCGUAAAUAUGCUGCAUGUGGGAUCAAUCUUAUAACAUUUUGUUUUAUUUAUUUGAGAGUCAUAAUAAGCUGAGGUGACAUUUCCUGCAACCUUUGAACCAUCUGUAUAUAAUUUGUAAAAAAGUUGUUGUCUAUAUACAAAGCUUAAGAAUUCUGACUGAUUUCUAACUAUUUCAGUGUCUAUUUCAAAAAGAUCAUUACUCAUACAUCUAAAAUCAAUAUUAUACAAAGGUUUCAUGUUACAUGAAUAUACAUUUAUACAUAAAGUUUUUAAAUUUAAUAUAAAGUUCAUUAUGUCUGGGAUAUGAUCAGAUAUCAAUUGAGUAGCAUUAAUGGAAAGAUUAGACAGCAAACUCUGAGGAAAAUCCUCUUUGGGUAGAAUUCUAUCUAAAACAAAUUUAUUGUUAUUAGCUAAUAACUUAAGACCAAACUUAUUGGCAAUUUGUAACCUUCUCAAUUUUAGAGUUAAAAUGCCAGAUUCUGCCUCCAUUGCAUUUAUUGGAGUGGAGCACAUAGCUCCUGUUAUAAUCCUGAGAGCCUUAUUCUGGAUAGAAUCUAACUUCCUGAGGUAUUCCAAUGGCUGUGAGAAUCUCAAUUAACACUAAAGGGUUAACAUUAUCAAAUGCUCCAUUAACAUCAAGAAAGGUGCAAACUGUAUGGGAAUGGUUAUGAAAUGAGUUUUUGAUGUCUGAAAUUAAGGAUGUAAAACUUUCUGUGGCACUUCUACGUCUACGAAAUCCAAACUGCUCUUUAGAUGGAUUAUGACUUAUGGUACCUAUUGUGGUUGGAGAACCUGUGUUAAAAGAAUACAAAGAUUGGACUCAUCUAAUAAAUUGAAAAUAUAAUUUCCCCUGGAGUUUGAAGAAUUACAACCAAAGGCAACAUGAUGUCCAUUAAAAUCACCUGAUAUCAUUAAGGGUUUGGGCAAGUUAUUUAUAAUUUGCUUUAAUUUCUUGCAUUUAAAACAACCCCCUCUUGGAGGACUAUAUGCACACAGCAUGGAUAUUUGGCCAAUGUUGAGUUUUAAAAUAAUUGCAACUGUUUGUAAAUGGUCAUAGUAUGGUGUUUGGAUAACUUUAUAUUUAUAUGAACUCUUUAUCAAAAUAGCUACACCAUGACCAUUAGGUCCGUUUUGAAGUAUUAUAAUAUAGUCUGGUAUAUUAAGGCAACUGUUUUCUUUCAA